rnacentral:rRNA from 1 species
GAUGAACGCUGGCGGCGUGCCUAAUACAUGCAAGUCGAGCGAACGGACGAGAAGCUUGCUUUUCUGAUGUUAGCGGCGGACGGGUGAGUAACACGUGGAUAACCUACCUAUAAGACUGGGAUAACUUCGGGAAACCGGAGCUAAUACCGGAUAAUAUUUUGAACCGCAGGGUUCAAAAGUGAAAGACGGUCUUGCUGUCACUUAUAGAUGGAUCCGCGCUGCAUUAGCUAGUUGGUAAGGUAACGGCUUACCAAGGCAACGAUGCAUAGCCGACCUGAGAGGGUGAUCGGCCACACUGGAACUGAGACACGGUCCAGACUCCUACGGGAGGCAGCAGUAGGGAAUCUUCCGCAAUGGGCGAAAGCCUGACGGAGCAACGCCGCGUGAGUGAUGAAGGUCUUCGGAUCGUAAAACUCUGUUAUUAGGGAAGAACACAUGUGUAAGUAACUGUGCACAUCUUGACGGUACCUAAUCAGAAAGCCACGGCUAACUACGUG